rnacentral:lncRNA from 1 species
UUGGUGCAGUAAAAAUUUUGGAGUCAAUGAGAAUGUUUGCUUUUAAUCAAAGAGGAGACAUUCUCAGGGAGGCAAUAUCUAAAUGUUGCAUUGAAUCAAAAAUAUAUAAUUUCAAAAAAAGUAAGGUUAUGAUGACAUAUAAUGUUAUUGGAGAUGUUAUCUUGACAAAUAGUGGAGAAAAAGUACUGACAAACAUAUCAACAAAGUCCCAUAAAAUCUACUUUAUUAACAGGUGAAGUGAUAUUUGAGCAUAUGGUUGAGAAUAUUUCCUUUUGUGCUCUUGGUGAAAAGCAGUACAAAAAUUUCAUAGGAUACAUUUCAAAAGAUGUAGCAUUUGAUAGAG